rnacentral:rRNA from 1 species
UACGUAGGGGGCAAGCGUUGUCCGGAUUUAUUGGGCGUAAAGGGCGCGUAGGCGGCGCCACAAGUCACCUGUGAAAACUCUGGGCUCAACCCAGAGCCUGCAGGCGAAACUGUGGUGCUGGAGUAUGGGAGAGGUGCGUGGAAUUCCCGGUGUAGAGGUGAAAUUCGUAGAUAUCGGGAGGAACACCAGUGGCGAAGGCGGCGACCUGGGCCAAUAUUGACGCUGAGGUGCGAAAGCGUGGGGAGCAAACAGG